rnacentral:lncRNA from 1 species
AUGCUCCUGGGGGACAGAGCCCCCUCCACGACCUGCUCAGCCCAGGGACCCAGGUCCAAGGUAACAGGAUCCCCAGGGGCCCUCCCCUCCCUCUGCCCUGCCGGCCACCAUGAAUCAGCAGCUCAGAGCGGCCAGAGCAGCUUUCCACCUGGGCUUCCACAGGACUUGGAGACCAGCCAGAGAGAGCGGCCUGGGCCACUACAGCCACAAUCACCUGUGCCCUUCACGCCUGGGGCCGACCAGGCAAUCCCCCUGCCUCUCCCAGGAGCCCCUCGCUGGCUGCUUCCUCCCCGUGGGGGGCCCGGGGUAUGGCAGGUGUCCCCAGGUGGUGCAUCCCAGUUCUGCUCCCGUCCGCUGCCCCUCACCACGGGACUUGGUCCAACCUGGUCUCCAAGGGUUCUCCAGGACCUGAGGCCCAGCAGCCGCCCCAACCAGGCCCCUGGUGAUCCAACUCCCAGAGGGUCUGCAACCCCCAAGACCCAGAACAAGGGCACGAAUGUCCCUGACCCCUGCCCAGACCAGGACCCGUCCUCACCCGAGCGGCAGUGGGCAGAAGGAGCUAGUAGCUCAGGGUGUGUCCCGAGGGCUGAAGCAAGGGUUCCCUCCCCCCACCAAUAUGAAAGAGAGGAAAGGUCUCUUCCCCACCCUCCCCAGGGAGCGCCUUUGUCCCAGGCGGCUUCCCUGAUCACUGAGAGAAGGGGUGGGCCUGCACGGGGACCAGAAGCUGAGCUGGCCCCAUGCAUUCCUCAGCUGGGCAGCUGGGCUUUAUGUGUGGACGGCCGGACAGCUGUCAUGCCCUGUCCCCGCUCGGAGCCCAUUAGCCUAGGUGCAGACCCCGACACCCCCCGGCUCCCAGGAACAGGGAGGCGCUGUGCUGUAUGCGGCUGCUUGUCUGACUGGAGACCUGAGCGACCUGGGCAAUGCAGGGCCAGGUGGGGCCUGACCAGGGGGGCAAUGCACAGGCUCAGCCACCCCGUCCAAGCAGCAGGGCACAGAGACUUGGGAGACAAGCAGCCUGAGAGAGAGAAUCCUCUUUAUUGUGAAACCCUGGUGCAGGCACUUGACGUCGAGACCUCUGCAAGGUGGGAGGUCGCCCCAACACACGCAACACCACCCCUCACGGAGAGGCCCCACGACGGAGGCCCACACCCCAACACAUCUUGA